UGAUUCCUGCGACCAUGGAUGAGGUUGACCUCAGGUGGAUUCAUAAUAUUGAAAGCAGUUACCUACUGGGUUCCCAUCACCUUAGGCUUAGCACAACACUGGACACAAUGAACAAAGAACUCUGGUUUCUUGUCCCCAGGUUCAUGCAGGCAGUCUUGAGCAACAUCGCAGCUCCAGCUACUGACUCAUUCCCAGAGCGCAUGGUCUAGAAAGAUCAUUAGGAUUUCCUUGCCCAGGAGUAGUCACACUGCAUUCACAUACUCUGUCAUCUGAAAGGAAUUUUGUCCACCUCCAAUUUUGACUCUAUUAUGUUCAGUCUUGAAGGACAUGGUGUUGAAUUUGUGGAGAGAGGCUUUAGAGAUCAUGAUCAAGCUCUGUGUACAGACAGAGCACAGGGCACAGGUCAGGUUCUCCUGUUGUGCAGGCCAUGUCUAUAGUAGACAAGGGAGGACUAAGGCAACUAGUAAUGCUGUCACCAUCUAUCUACACAGGCCUCAUGAUUAAACACUUUUAUGUUUCUGAUUUAAAUUAAAUAAAUUAAACCAAGUGUCUAUUAAACAUCCACACAUGAUUUUAAAAUGAGAAUGCGCUUUAAAUCCUUCAUGAUCACUGCUCAGGUUAACCAAUAUUUUUUUUGUGUGUGUGGUAACCGCUUGCUUAGCAGUUUAAAGAACCUGCAAAAUUAAUUUUAUGUAGUCACUGUAAUAUUUUACAUUUCCACCAAAAAUUACACACGUGGUCUUUUUUCAUGUUUUCAUAGGAAUUGGUAGCAUCACUUAAUAUUAUUCAAUUAAUUAUGAACAAUAAUUGUCAUUGCAGUUGAAACUUGUAAUACUUUAUGACUAAGAUAUUUAGGAACCUUUUAUGUACCUGCUGGACAGUCUUCCUAUUGACCUGUGUGUUGAUGUCUUUUACUUGUCACCAAUUCCCUUAUUUAUUCUUUUCCUUUACAGAUUUGUAAGUUAUUUAACUAUUUGUUGGGUCAUGAUUUAUAAAUACACACAUACUUUAAUUUUACUGUCUUUUGGUAUUUCUCCAUAUUUCAUGGUGAAAGGUUUUAAUUUGAUGAAGUUGUCAAUCAAUCAUUUUCCUUAAAUUUUGUAUGCUGGGUGUUAUUGACUCUAUACUGAAGAAAUGUGACAAAUCUAUCUCAGCCCACUUGCCAAGUCAAGUCAUCAUCAAUACUGGUAAAUCACAUUGGUAGUAUGUACCCUUGAUAUCAUGUGAAAGCUUAAUUCACUUUUGCUGUUCUCUCCUUGACAAUAUCCAUCCCUCCCCUCUUACCAUGACUAAAAUGCCAGAUAAAAUCUAAUCCAAGGGGCAGUAAACAAAAUAUCUGUCAAGGUUAUCUAACUUUAAGAAAUAGAAACCUAAAGAGCAGCAGCUUGGCAUAUUGGAUAAGAUUGUGAAAUACAGAAAGCACUUAGGUAAAACAAGAACUUGGAGAAAAUCUGAACUGUAAUUAAUAAUAAUUUAUUCAAAUUAUUUCAUUAGCUCUGGCAGGUAUACGUGCCAGUAUAACAAUCAUGAUUGAAGAUACCAAGAUGGAAGCUAUGAAAACCCUUUGUAUUGUCUUCACAAUAUAUCUGUACCUAAGUAUUUUCUAAGAUGAAGUUUAUUAGAAAACACAUAUUUUUCAUCUCUAUCCACUGAAAAUGCUCCAGAAAAAGCAAGCCAGCAGCAAUGACUGUCUCAGAACCAGUGGGAAAUGGCUUAGAGCCUUAAAAUAAUGUUCUCUGUGUUUUUUUUUUUUUUUGCUCAAUACUGGAAUUGUCUGCAAAUUCAACAUUUUAAAUUUAAGUAAGGUGAACAAAUAUAAAGCAGUGAUACCAUUUAGCGUGUGCUGCCUUUUAUGACUAGACUUUAGUUGUGCCUGGGUGUGGCCAGACCAGGAUUUUCUGCAUACUAAACAUCAUAGUCAACUAACCCAUAACAGCAAUCCAGUUCUCAAAGAAGAGGGGAUACCAACCAAUACCUCUCCAGGUCAGUGACUUAUGUGAAUCCAGAUGUAGUUCAGCUGCAAUCUAUUGUCACAAUAACAUAUAAAACUUUUAUAACUAGAGGAGCAUUGUGGCCCAUUUAUUCUGUUGGGUAUUUAUGCUGGUAAACACUUUUUAGUAAAAGAGAUUUAAAAAGUAGUAUUUUCCUUUCUAUUCUGCAGGUGAUAUAUCGUUUGUUUCUAUACGUGAAAUAUCAAAAAAAAAAAAAACACAUAAACUGUCCUGUCAAAGUAAAUGGAGAUAGCGUCAAAAGCAAGGCAGAAACACUGUGUUGUGCUUUUCUGCUGUUGUUGUAGCAAUAUAUUGAUGUGUGCACCAUGACCAGGACCAUGUUUGCUGAGUACCAGAGUCAAUAGCUGCUCAGCAUCCUGGGUAAAUUCCCAUCAUUACAUCUCACCAACUUCUUCACAUAGGCAGCAUCCUCUCCUUUCUGUUCACUUCUGCUUGGCAAUCAAUUUAGGGAUUUUGAAAUGUAUGCAGAGGCAGAGAUGGUAUAUCGAUCCCUAAAAUUCAUGUAUCAUCAAUGGUAGCUAAUGAUUGCUACCUAUAACUCCUGCUGCAAUGGACACAAAGAAUACCUAUUGGCUGAUUUUCUAUUUUUUGAGUGAGUGGAUUGGGAGGUAUUUUCAGUUUUAAGGAAUCAAUCGAGUAUUUCAACCAACGAGGGCAGGAAAAUUAUGUAAGAUGCUUUCCAGUGGUUUGAGUAUCAAGAAAAUCUUAUGUUAAAAGAGGCAUUAAGUUUCACAUUAUCAACUAUUAUAAGGAAGAAUCUUCUCUAUGCUUGUUCUUUUACACUUAAUGCCCAAACUUAUCUCCUUUUCUCUCCCAACCCUGUCUCUUCAUCUUUCUCCAUAGUAUUAUUUUGCCUUAUAAUAUUUGUGUUCAAAAUACAAUACUUUUCUUCAAGCAAGCAAGAAUGGAAACAAAUCUGCCUGUGGCACCCAGCAUGUGCUUUCAAUUCCAGACAUGCCUUUUGCAUGUGGUUUUUCGUAUGUAAUGAUGACUCUGAGGUCAGACCCAUCAGGUUUCCUAUUUCUCAAAUCACUGAACUAACAAACUGCAGCCUCUCACUUAGCAUGUUGGUCAAAACAACACUGUGUUUCUGCUCUGCCUUUUCAAUAAGCGCGUGCUUUCCCUUUGCACUCCAUGGAAAUGAAAAACACGUUUCUCUACCAAACCACUACCCUAUAUCAAGCAGACACACACAUCAUGGUCCAGUGUGGUUACUAUCUUUAUAUUAUAAGACAACCCUACAACUGAUGAUUGGAUAAACCAAAAUAGAGAAUAAACUUGCACAAUAAGAGAGGUUUGAUAAGUCUGUAGAUUUUGACAUAGUUUGGGAUUUGGGGUUUACAUAUGUAAUGAUUUCAUAUUCCAAAUUCUUUGACUAAGCACUUUUAUACUUUUAAAAUGCUAAUGUAUUAGUUCAAAUUCUAUUCUCAGAUUGGAAAUCUUCAAUUAUGCAUAGCAUUUUAAUUUCCUAAAUGUUUAAUGUAUACACAUUAACAAACAAAACUCCAGCAAUAACAAAGUGACCCCCACAAACUCUACAAAUACUUGUCCCACUGAAUUGGAAAUUGAGAUUACUGUCUGGGCAUUGGAGUCUCAUGAAACCAUCAGUCAGAUAAGCACACUGAGUAGGACCAGCCUGAAGUUUAAUUGAUACAAUGUGAAGGCAAAGUAAAAUAAUAAGCCCAGAAUCCAGGAGCUUAUUCAGGAAAGCUUUUAGAUUUUUCAGGAUGUGACAAAAAUAUUUAGUAAUUGGUGACUAAUGUCGGACAUUUUGGAAUUUCCUAACAAUGAAAAAUGUCAACCAACCUGAGCCUCAUUAAAGGCCAAGGGGAUAUGGACGUGAUUGUGGAUGAGGGAGUUUUAACUUUUUAUGCAGUGAGUGUUUAGCCUACAUAGACACGAAUGCACUCUGUGUGUGUGUGUGUGUGUGUGUGUGUGUGUGUGUGUGUGAAGCCUUUAGAGGUCAGAAGAAGGCUUCAGAGCUUCUGGUGCCAGAGUUAUUGAUGGUUGUGAGCCACCAUGUGAGUGCUGAGAAUUGAACUUGGGUCCUCCAUAACAGCAACAGAUGCUCUCAACAGCUAAGCCAACUGUUCCACUCAGAUCAGGGAUUUUUAAAGACCAAGUGGUCUCAAAAAUAGCUCUAAAAAUUACCAGCAGUAUGAAUAUUUUCUUGUUGUUUAAGCACCCAUGCCUACUUUAUUUCAGCCUCCCUUUCCUUUUUUGGUGAUAAAAUUUAAAGUUUAAGUUUCUAUUGUAUCAUAUGAAUAAUGAGUUAUGAAAUGACUACAACAAGAAUAUUAACAUCACAAAAACUAGAUAUGAAACUCAAAUAUUAACUAUUGAAAUUUUAUUUUCAGUGUUUGGUGCAAGACAAACAUCCUCAUAUAUAUGAAAAUCAAUUUCAGCCCAUCAGAUGUGUUGAAAGAAUUGGUUUUACUAUGUAGAAAUAAUUGUUACAAUUUCAUUAUCAUUAAAUUCAAUAUGGAAGAGCACUGGGGCAACUUGCCUCCAAGGUUUAUAUGCAGGUCUCAAAGGAGACAUAUUCACUUCAGUUUUCUGUCAUGAUAAUAAUGAUGUCUCCUUAUAUGAAUUAAUCCCAGAAAAUUCACCAUCAGUGCAUGACUUCCCACUACUCAAUACCUAGGUAUUUAUGUUGCUGAAUUUCUAGUUUGAAAUUCCAUAGCUGGUUUCUGUUGUCUUGGAUAAUCCCUAUGUAUAUACUCAUAUUGUCAAAUUUUCUGCCUUCAACUAUAUAAGCAUAAUGAUUAAAUCAUAAAUUAUAUUUGCUGACAAUGCCUCUAGAAAAAUGUGUUAAAUGAAUAUCUGCCUUCUUGUACUUUGUUCUGUUGAAGUUACCCAAUAUUCUGGAAUCAACUCUAAAAUUACUUCUUAAAUUAUAAAUGAUUACUUCUUUAUAUGACGUUUGUAUUUUAGGCAAGAUUUAUGUUACUAUGGGCUAGGGAUACAUCUCAGAUACAAACACUUGCCUAACAUGCUCAUCUUCACCUCUCAGCACUCAAAAAUAGUAAUGAUAAUAAUUUUUUUGUAUUUAUUCAGCGAUCUUCCUUAUUACAAAUCCUGACUUCAAACUGGGUUUGUUAUUGUCUCCCCUCCCAAAAUAUGGAUUUCUAAAAGGUAAAAAAAGGAUAAAGUUUCAUAAUUGAUCUUCACUUCAUUGUCUUUGAAACAAAACAUUAUGCAUAUGUGCUCCUCCUAUUGUAAGAUUUUUACUUAAUUUUGGAGUGCAAGUUUACAUUCUCUCACUGUUUGUGUCACUGGAGAUUUCCCUUCAUGACCACCCUUUUGCAUGCAAAUACCUUCAAAGCAUAAGGGCACACUUCACAACCAUCAUGUUCUCUGGGUAAUAGAUUAUUGUGUUUUGAAAGUUUGUGCUCUUAAAGAAUUUCAUACUUGCAUAUGUGUUUUAUAAAUCCACCCCCUUUCACCACCAUCUAGGUCUUUCUAUUCCCACUACUUUCUCUUCCAGCUUCAUGAGUUCAUGUGGUCAUUUUAAGUGUUUCAGCCACUGUCCAUAUAGUGCUGCCUGUGUGUGCAUGGCUGUAGACUAUCUACCGAGAAUUGGUAGUAGUCUCUUAGGGGCUUCAUUCCCUUAGCAGCCAUCUAUCCCAAUAGCGCCUUCCUAGGGAUUAUUUAUAUUCUUAAAUUAGUUAUUCUCUAACACUCUGUAGAAUUAGGCUUCAGGCUGGCCCCAAAGCUGCUGGAUGUAGCACUUUGGGCAUCAUACAUGCUCAGGCCCAUUUCUGACAUUGCAAUCAACAGGUGCACUAUAGCGGUUCUGAGCUUGAGACUCCGUCCUGUAGAAACAUAUUUCAGAUUCACCCACCUACCUACUCAAGAAAAAGACCAAACUGCUGAGGACCCCAGCAAUAAGCCAGUCUUUGAGCCAUGCUUGAUUGCCAGCACAGAAUCUGCCUGGGGCGAUAGACAAAGAACUUUCCCAAAUAAAACCAGUUUGCAAAGACUGGAAAAACUGCUAAUUCUUCAAAGGUUCAGACACACAAACAAGGAAAAAGAAGCAAAGGAGACUAACCUCUCCAACUUGUGCAUCUAUCCGAAAUAAAUGAAUAAAUAAAUAAAUAAAUAAAAUAUUGGGCAUCACUAAAAUUUUCCAACAGAGACGAAAACAGUAUUCAACUCUACUAUCCAUUUGUGAAAGUAAAAAUUUCCAAGCUCAUUAUUUCUUAAAUUGUGGAUUAAAUAUCAUGGUAAAAAGAGGCCAUGAACAUAGACUUUCAAGUUUACAAUAAUUAUAAAGAAUUAAAAUAAAUAUUAAAAAUAAGUGGAAUAAGUAGAUGCAUAUUAGCACAUCAUAUAUAAACAAAAAUAAAAUUAUCUAGAUUAAUAUAUGAAAAAUAGAUAUUCAGAUGAAACAAAUAUGUGAGGACAGAUUUCAUGAAUGAAAUUUCUAAAAUUCACUAUUUAACUAUAAAUCUGAAAGGUUCUACUAGUACAACUUUACAAAGAUUUAAAUCCAUUGUGAAAAAAAAACAAAAAGGAAAAUAUGUAAAUACAUAACAGGACAUUGGAUUUUAUGUAUAUUUUCAGGAACUGAUAAAGCAUGUAUAUGAAAGGUUAGUGUACAUAAGAAUUAAGAUGAUCAUAUAUGUGUGGCUUACACUGAGACAUAGGAGUGGGAACUACUGCUUAUCAAUAUUAAAUGCAAAAUAAAACUGUUUUUAUUCAAUGUCCUAGAGAUGGAUUUGAAAUGGUGCUGGGAAGACAGAACAUUGGAGGAUGCUUUUUAAAUCCAGAAAAGUAGCACUGGCCACUUAACUAAUGAGCCUUAAACUAUAACAUGUGAUAUUUUCAGACUAUGGAGCUGGAUGCCUAUACGAUGCCAAAGUGAUGCUUGAGCCUUGUUUUAUGCCUCAUAACAACAAUGUCAGUUGGAGUUUGGCUCUAUACUUAAAAGGAUCAAGCAACAGAGAGCUAAAAUGUAUGGUAGGUGAACUCUUCUUGAAUUCAGUAUAGAACCUUAUCUUGGGAGCAGUGGCCACACAGUUCAUGGCAGAACAGCACCAGAAAGAUAGAGGGCCAAGGACAAAUGACACUGCCACAAAUCUGUUCUGAUGAGGAUGAUUUUCAAAGAAGGAAUGAUAUAAGGGGAAUUAUAUUUAAAUCAUAAAGUUGAUGAAGGACAACUGUUUUGCAGUAUCCUAAAGUAAAUUAUUUCAUUGUUUUCUUCAUUAGUUUGUUAAUGUGCUGGGAAAGAAUGGAUUCAGGGAGAAAGGAAAACAGGUGUAGAGACCCAUAGGUUUAUACAUACCAGCCAGAGUAGGAUGCAGGAUUCUGUAAAAUUAUUCUCUCAUUUUCCAGUAGAAAAGAAAUCAAGAUACUGUGUAAUAGUAAAGAAAUAGUAAAGAAAGAGGAAGAGUUUAGGGGAUUUGAGAAGUGAUUAGAUUGUAGCUGUAGUCAUUGGGACCAUGAAAAAAAAAAAAAACAUGUUAAGAAUUGUUCCAAUAAACUAAGAAACCUGUGAUGUUUGGCACAGUGACUGUAGGCUACAACCUGCCAGUGUGGGCUUGCCUCUGCUUCUAUCACACUGCAGUGGAGAGGUUGAAUAAGACAUACCUAGAUUUAGUGUCUUUUCAAGCUCUGAGUGUCAAACCAGUGGGGAAUAAAAACAAAGGAGGAGGUCCAAAGAUAGAUCAUGAAUUCUAAACAAGGAAAGCUCAAAACAUUAAUUUAAUGAUGCAUAGUGAUGGGUGAGUUCAGAAAUUUCUAGAAGCAUGUGUAAUAGGAAGAAAUAAAAAACUGUAUCAAAAUAAUGGAAGGAAGAAAACAGUAAUAUGCAGAAAUAUUUGGACCUAAAAUUUCAAGAAUUAUUCUGAAGAUCUUCUGUUGGGAAAUACAAAACUGUAACUACAAAAAAAAAUGUGAAGUGAUGGAAAAGGUAGGCAGACAAAAGUCAAUGAGAAAAACACAUGAAAACAGAGAAGAAUGAGUGUGGAGAGGGAAGUAAUUAAGAAUGUCAUAGAAAAAGUGCUGGGGACAAAGAGAAGGGGCGGAGGAGAGAGAAUGUUUGGUGUUAAGACAUGCAAAGAAUAUAUGGGGUCAUACAAAGUGUGUAAUAACUUACUUCAAUAAAUUGAAUCAUUUAUGCAGUUACAUUACAAAAUCAAUCUUCUCCUUUUGUUAGCAGUUAUACAAAAUAUAAAGUCACAAUUUAUACUCUUCCUUAUAACUGAAAAUAAGCAGAAUGAUUAUGAAAACAUGCUUUAAUUUUUGAAUCGUUUUCCUGAGUUUGCAAUAUUGCAUCGGAUCCAGUUCCACCUGGCUGUGAGCCAUCAUGUGGGCACUGGGAACCAAACCCAAGCCCUCUGAAGAGCAGCCUGUGCUGAGCCAUUUUCCUAGCCCCCUUGUUUUCCUUUGUCUCAAGGUAUUUCAUCAGAGAAGCAGAGAUGAAACCAGAAUACUACCAUAACAUGACAAAAGUAAAUAAUUACUUUACUUUUGUGGAAUCUUGAGGAAAUAACUAUCAUUACUGCCCACCAUAGAAGUGA
rnacentral:lncRNA from 1 species